UACGAAGGGGGCUAGCGUUGCUCGGAAUCACUGGGCGUAAAGGGUGCGUAGGCGGGUUUUUAAGUCAGAGGUGAAAUCCUGGAGCUCAACUCCAGAACUGCCUUUGAUACUGACUGUCUUGAGUUCGGGAGAGGUGAGUGGAAUGCCGAGUGUAGAGGUGAAAUUCGUAGAUAUUCGGCGGAACACCAGUGGCGAAGGCGACUCACUGGCCCGAUACUGACGCUGAGGCGCGAAAGCGUGGGGAGCAAACAGG
rnacentral:rRNA from 1 species